CCGGCGCUGGUGCCCAGCUCGGAGUUCAAAUCUGGCGGAUCGAGC
rnacentral:tRNA from 1 species